GUUGCUGGUUCGGGGACAUCUGAUAAAAUUGUAAUGACACAAAGAAGAUUAGCAUGACCCUUAUGCAAGGAUGGCAAAAAAAAAAAUCAAGAAAUGGUCAAAAUGUUU